UCUGAGGUGGAAGUGUGGCGACACAUGGAGCUGACAGAUACUAAUCGAUCGAGGACUUAACCAUAUUU
rnacentral:rRNA from 1 species